rnacentral:rRNA from 1 species
AGAGUUUGAUCCUGGCUCAGGAUGAACGCUGGCGGCGUGCCUAAUACAUGCAAGUCGAGCGAAUGGAUUAAGAGCUUGCUCUUAUGAAGUUAGCGGCGGACGGGUGAGUAACACGUGGGUAACCUGCCCAUAAGACUGGGAUAACUCCGGGAAACCGGGGCUAAUACCGGAUAAUAUUUUGAACCGCAUGGUUCGAAAUUGAAAGGCGGCUUCGGCUGUCACUUAUGGAUGGACCCGCGUCGCAUUAGCUAGUUGGUGAGGUAACGGCUCACCAAGGCAACGAUGCGUAGCCGACCUGAGAGGGUGAUCGGCCACACUGGGACUGAGACACGGCCCAGACUCCUACGGGAGGCAGCAGUAGGGAAUCUUCCGCAAUGGACGAAAGUCUGACGGAGCAACGCCGCGUGAGUGAUGAAGGCUUUCGGGUCGUAAAACUCUGUUGUUAGGGAAGAACAAGUGCUAGUUGAAUAAGCUGGCACCUUGACGGUACCUAACCAGAAAGCCACGGCUAACUACGUGCCAGCAGCCGCGGUAAUACGUAGGUGGCAAGCGUUAUCCGGAAUUAUUGGGCGUAAAGCGCGCGCAGGUGGUUUCUUAAGUCUGAUGUGAAAGCCCACGGCUCAACCGUGGAGGGUCAUUGGAAACUGGGAGACUUGAGUGCAGAAGAGGAAGUGGAAUUCCAUGUGUAGCGGUGAAAUGCGUAGAGAUAUGGAGGAACACCAGUGGCGAAGGCGACUUUCUGGUCUGUAACUGACACUGAGGCGCGAAAGCGUGGGGAGCAAACAGGAUUAGAUACCCUG